UCUCUCUCUCUCUCUCUCUCUCUCUCUUCCUAUCUUAGCCUCUUUCAUCUCUUUUCCUCUUGAAUCACAGUCGAUUUGGGUAAACACGCCUCCGAUCUAGGCAGGAAAUUUAGAUUCAAGGCCAGUUUUUGCCGAAAUCGGGCUUUCUUUUCCUUCUAGUUCUAUGUUUUCUAGUUUCUGCCAAGGCAGUAUACUUGUAAACUCUUGGCUUUGUUGGGUUGUUCUCCUCUUGGUUCUCUAGUUCAUAAAACCAUAGCAGAUGGGGCUGAUCGCCGGAAUCUGAUGUGGGUUCAAAUGGGUUGCUGGCUUUUGGCCGGAAUCUGAUCGGAGAAAUCUGACUACAAAGUCCAAAACUGUGAAUUACGGACUGAAACAGUGCUGGGUUGUUGGGAGUUGUAUUUUGUUCAUUAUUUGGCGAAAACAAUUAGGAGAAAAGAGCAAAUGAGGUCUUUUGUUUUCAGUUCUUAGGGGAUCGACUGUAGAUUCUUAUCUCGCCAUCAUGUCAUCGUUAUACGUUUAAUUAAACCACUAGUAACAUGCCACGUUAACACGGACUCGCAGUCAUGAAUCUGAAGAUGGUGCAUGAAUCUUCCUAUACCACUGAUCAGUCUUCUCUGUUUUUUUCUUUAACUUCCCUCUUUUCUCUUCUGUUCAUUUGUUCAUUUCCCUGGCUUUUCUCCUUUUCUGGGUUUUAUUUGUUCCUGAAGUCCCAUCAGUUUAUCGUGCAUGGAUUGAUCCAGUCGUUGUUUGCGGAUGUAGCACCAUCAAGAUUCACAUGCAGAUACACGGCGGCGAUGUAAUGAUCUCCGCCCAAGUUCUGAACUGAGAAUCUUGAUGAUGCUGCAUCGGCAAUAAGCGGCUACACAAGGAAUUUUGCUGUACUACAUGGGAUGUGAACUCAGAGGUUGAGAAGAUGGGAGAUUGAGAUGGGAAUUGGCUACAGUUAGAGAAGAAUAUUUGGGCAUAAAGUGCAAAGAAGCUGAAGCCAUUGAUCUCCAAAACUGGUUUAUUCGUGGAGGAAAAAGUCGUCAAUCUCCUGCAGUAUAUUUAAGGAGGUAGUAUCUUACUGUAGUCACUUUCUGUUUGGAUCAUAUAUAUGAUUAUAUAAGUUAGAACAUAGGGUUUAUCGUUUUGACUGUCUGUCUGGGUCGGUUGGCUGCUACUGCAUUUGUCUGAAUCCUUUAGUACGGACUGAACUUAGGUAAUUGUUUUCUUUGAGCAAGUGGGUAGUUUCAUAUGUAGUUGUUGAUGACAGAGAAACAAUCCUUUAAUACAUGAUUGAAAGAAAACAAUAAUAACUUUGCUUUGAGAGACUUAUAAGAACCAUUGAGUGUGUAAGAUACAAGAGGAAAUGGAAUAUUUCAUUGCUGAAAACAACAAUGUUUCAGUAAAUCAAUCACAUCAAAUAAGUUAAUUUGUCCAUAUUGCCUUCAUCUUAAAAGGACGAAUAUUUGUUAGUUCUAAACAACUUGCAUUGUACCAUGUGGUGACGAUAAUUGAAAAAAAAUGGAGAGGUCAUGUCAUGAUAACGAUAAAAUUCUGUUAAAAUGGGUUUAUGGCCUGAAAUUUGUUUGAAAUCUCUUGGUUUUUUUAAUGUUUUGUUUACAGAAAGUUUCUGUUAACUUUCAGACUAAAUUUGGGUACGUACGUCAGUUGUUAGCUUGAUUAAUCAUACAUGUAAAUCUAUUUAAAUAUUAAUCUGAACCAGUUCAGAGUACAUGUGAUUCUCAAGACUAAACAUAAAAGGAAUCUCCUACAUGUAACUACGUACAAGAAAAAACUGAACAAGAAAAGUCAUGGUUUAUGACUCAGAAACUUAAAAAGAAUAAUCUGUUUGAACCCAGUUUUAGGAUGUGUUUUCCUCUGAUAAAACACAUUAAAGGGUUAAGCAUAGGUAUCUGUGCUUAGUCUCACACCAAAGUUAGGCAAAGAGAGACUCGAAUCCCAUAGUGCUCAUGGCUGUAUUUUCUGAUCCUGGGUUCCUCACAAUUGACAACCCAUCUCUGCAGAUUGGUUAAAAUUUUACCCAGAAUGCAGCCGAUCGACUGUGAAACGAGCAUGUUUGAAGCUCUAGAUGAGCAUGCAAGGUGGCAACAAAAUUUGUUUUCUUCUUUAUAAGCCAACAGUCUGGUGAUGAUAUCAAGCCUUGUCAUUUACGAAGUUAGACAUCAGAAGCUGUUGUCAAAUCAACGGAGGAUGACUCCUUUUCUGCUUUCAUUAGGUCAUGGACUCAUGGAUUCACAAUUUAUAUGCCCCAAAGUAGCAAUAAAGCUUUGCAGCUUGCUUUAUUUUCUUGUAUGAACUUAUGAGUUAUGGCUGUGCUUUAUUGCAGAUCAACUUAUCAACAAAUUAAACCACUAAUGCAGGUAUGUAUGCACAUUAUGUAUAUGCCUUGUUACAUAUUAACCCAAAUUCAUGUAUCCCUAUGCUCUCUCUUUAUCCUCAUAAUAAAAAAAAAAAACUAUUUUAUUAAAUUUUAUAUUCUAAUUUAGAAUUUUCCAUUAAUAGAAGAUGAAGCAUAAAUAAGUGCCAAAUUGUAAUGAGAGUUAGAAAGAUGUCAUAAAUAUGAGAAAUCAAUGUGUUUUUUUUAUUCACUUCAAUGGUAAAGCAGUAAUACAAUAUUGUACCAUUUAUUUAUGAUAAAGCUGAA